UCUACCAUCUCUUGUCCCCAUAAUUCCUGGGAGAUUUUUUAUACCCCAAGCUGAGAGUACAGAGUGGGAACAGAGCAUGGCUCCCAUGCCUCCCAGGACACUGACACACUUCCCAGUGCAUCGAGGACACCUCAACAUUGGUGCCAUUUUUCCCACUGAAGUCGAGGAUCUGUUGAAGAGCUGGCUGUUAUUCUGACAGAAGUGGGAAAGGAAAUAAAGAACUAUGAACCACCAUUCUUUACCCAGAAUCUGGCCUAACCUCCAAGAACUUGCUUCUAAAUGU